rnacentral:lncRNA from 1 species
ACGUAAAAAAAAAUUUGGUCAGAAAAGAGUAAUGGGCACAGUUUGGAAUACUACAGCAAGAAUUGCUAGCUAGCAAUAUUAAAAAUGCUCAUUGUAGCAUGAUUUAUACUAGUAGAAAGGAAUUAUUCUAAAUGUCCUUUUAGAAAAGAAUACUAAUUAAGUCACAAUGGAUCCACAUGAUAGUGUAUUCAAUUGUAUCUAUACAAUCUUGUCAUGCUAUAUAUAAUUACGAAAUGAUGCUAAGUAAGACGGUAAUACCUAUGUUUUAAAACAAUUGUUAUCAUUCUGGCCUUUUUCUGAAGUCUGGAAGCAAAGCAUGACAAACCCUAACAAAAGCUGCCUGUGGGUAGUUGACUGCAGGAUAGACUACACUGUUUUUCCUAAGGUUUCUUCAACUUAGUCUAACUCUGGUAGACUGUGAGGGUGUCGGAUUUUAGCUCUUUGUUUCAUGCAGAUCAGUUCACCUCCCUCAGUGUGGAGCCUGGUGCUCUUCCGGUACAGCCCUGGGGGUCCGGCAUCCUGAGAGAGACCAGCUGGGGGCCUGGGGUCACUUGCAGCUGCAACAGGUGUGCAUCCGGGGCCAGGCGGGGGCGGAAGGCGGCCGCCUGGAGCUGCCGGGCAGAGCAGGCGGGCGGUGCUCUGUGUUGUCCGGGAAGGCAGCCAGUCCUCGUGCCUAGGCUUUCCAGCCGCUGAGGAGCCCGCCAAGCAGGGCCCCCCACCUGCCGGGCUGGGCGGGCACACCCAAUCACAUAGACACGAGUUGCUGGGUAGUGUUGCCAUCCGUGGAGCACCGCCCGUCCGUCCUCUCAGCCCGCUGGGCCUCGGCUUCCCCAGCUGACCCUUGGGGGCUGUCACUUUGCUGUGCCCACCUCCGUGGAUGCUGGCGCCUUGGAACUUUGAGAAAGAGAAGCAGCAGGGGCCAGUACUUCCCUGAGGAUGGCUGCUUGUUCUUUUAGGACUUAGUUAUUUGCAAGGUGGAGUGACAGAGAGAGAUAUCUUCCAUCUGCUUCUUCAUUUCCAAAUGGCCGCAGCAGCUAGGGCUGCGCCAAGCCAAACCCAGGAGCCAGGAUCUCCAUUUGGAUCUCCUAUGUGAGUGGCAGGAGCCCAAUUUGGGCCAUCAUCUGCUGUCUCCCAGGCACAAGCAUAGGGAGCUGGACAAGAUGGGAUUGGCUCUCCAGGCAUGCUGAUAUGGGAUGCAG